UUGAACGCUGGCGGCAGGCCUAACACAUGCAAGUCGAGCGGAUGAAGGGAGCUUGCUCCUGGAUUCAGCGGCGGACGGGUGAGUAAUGCCUAGGAAUCUGCCUGGUAGUGGGGGAUAACGUCCGGAAACGGGCGCUAAUACCGCAUACGUCCUGAGGGAGAAAGUGGGGGAUCUUCGGACCUCACGCUAUCAGAUGAGCCUAGGUCGGAUUAGCUAGUUGGUGGGGUAAAGGCCUACCAAGGCGACGAUCCGUAACUGGUCUGAGAGGAUGAUCAGUCAUACUGGAACUGAGACACGGUCCAGACUCCUACGGGAGGCAGCAGUGGGGAAUAUUGGACAAUGGGCGAAAGCCUGAUCCAGCCAUGCCGCGUGUGUGAAGAAGGUCUUCGGAUUGUAAAGCACUUUAAGUUGGGAGGAAGGGCAGUAAGUUAAUACCUUGCUGUUUUGACGUUACCAACAGAAUAAGCACCGGCUAACUUCGUG
rnacentral:rRNA from 1 species